rnacentral:rRNA from 1 species
UGGUGAACUAUGCCUGGGCAGGACGAGGCCAGAGGAAACUCUGGUGGAGGUCCGCAGCGAUUCUGACGUGCAAAUCGAUCGUCAGACCUGGGUAUAGGGGCGAAAGACUAAUCGAACCAUCUAGUAGCUGGUUCACUCCGAAGUUUCCCUCAGGAUAGCUGGCGCUCGAGUGGAGUCAGUCUCAUCCGGUAAAGCGAAUGAUUAGAGGCCUUGGGGCCGAAACGACCUCAACCUAUUCUCAAACUUUCAAUGGGUGAGAAGUCCGGUUUACAUGACUGAAGCCCGGACAAUUCUCAGGAUGCGAGUGCCCAGUGGGCCACUUUU